UACGGAGGGUGCAAGCGUUAUCCGGAUUCACUGGGUUUAAAGGGUGCGUAGGUGGGCAAGUAAGUCAGUGGUGAAAUCUCCGGGCUUAACCCGGAAACUGCCAUUGAUACUAUUUGUCUUGAAUACUGUGGAGGUCAGCGGAAUAUGUCAUGUAGCGGUGAAAUGCUUAGAUAUGACAUAGAACACCAAUUGCGAAGGCAGCUUACUACACAGUUAUUGACACUGAGGCACGAAAGCGUGGGGAUCAAACAGG
rnacentral:rRNA from 1 species